rnacentral:rRNA from 1 species
AGGAAUAUUGGUCAAUGGACGAGAGUCUGAACCAGCCAAGUAGCGUGAAGGAUGACUGCCCUAUGGGUUGUAAACUUCUUUUAUACGGGAAUAAAGUGAGGCACGUGUGCCUUUUUGUAUGUACCGUAUGAAUAAGGAUCGGCUAACUCCGUGCCAGCAGCCGCGGUAAUACGGAGGAUCCGAGCGUUAUCCGGAUUUAUUGGGUUUAAAGGGAGCGUAGGCGGACGCUUAAGUCAGUUGUGAAAGUUUGCGGCUCAACCGUAAAAUUGCAGUUGAUACUGGGUGUCUUGAGUACAGUAGAGGCAGGCGGAAUUCGUGGUGCAGCGGUGAAAUGCUUAGAUAUCACGAAGAACUCCGAUUGCGAAGGCAGCUUGCUGGACUGUAACUGACGCUGAUGCUCGAAAGUGUGGGUAUCAAACAGGAUUAGAUACCCUGGUAGUCCACACAGUAAACGAUGAAUACUCGCUGUUUGCGAUAUACAGUAAGCGGCCAAGCGAAAGCAUUAAGUAUUCCACCUGGGGAGUACGCCGGCAACGGUGAAACUCAAAGGAAUUGACGGGGGCCCGCACAAGCGGAGGAACAUGUGGUUUAAUUCGAUGAUACGCGAGGAACCUUACCCGGGCUUAAAUUGCAGUGGAAUGAUGUGGAAACAUGUCAGUGAGCAAUCACCGCUGUGAAGGUGCUGCAUGGUUGUCGUCAGCUCGUGCCGUGAGGUGUCGGCUUAAGUGCCAUAACGAGCGCAACCCUUAUCUUUAGUUACUAACAGGUUAUGCUGAGGACUCUAGAGAGACUGCCGUCGUAAGAUGUGAGGAAGGUGGGGAUGACGUCAAAUCAGCACGGCCCUUACGUCCGGGGCUACACACGUGUUACAAUGGGGGGUACAGAAGGCAGCUAGCGGGUGACCGUAUGCUAAUCCCAAAAUCCUCUCUCAGUUCGGAUCGAAGUCUGCAACCCGACUUCGUGAAGCUGGAUUCGCUAGUAAUCGCGCAUCAGCCACGGCGCGGUGAAUACGUUCCCG